GUGAGCCUUCUUCUUUUCCCGGUACUUCCUCACCGCGGCCCGGUUACCGGACGGGCGCUUCUUGGAGGCGUUGUUCUCGGACGGCGACUCCGCGGUCUCGGCGGCGUCGGGCGAAGCCGCAACGAUCUUGGUGUGGACAUGGACGCAGGUGUGGGUGUGCGAAUGGUCGUGGACCGGCGGGUUGCAGGUGUGGGUGUGGGUGCAGGCAUGGUGCUCGGUAUCCUUCAGGAUGUCAUCAAAGUAGCUGUCCAUGGAGCAGCUGCUUGGGGGAUCGUUGCCGAUGGCCGGGCAAAGGAAGGUGUCAGGGUUCGAGAAAUCAAGGUCCCCAUCGUCCA
rnacentral:lncRNA from 1 species